GAAAUGCGAUAAGUAAUGUGAAUUGCAGAAUUCAGUGAAUCAUCGAAUCUUUGAACGCACAUUGCGCUCGCCAGUAUUCUGGCGAGCAUGCCUGUUCGAGCGUCAUUUCAACCAUCAAGCUCUGCUUGCGUUGGGGAUCCGCGGCUGCCCGCGGUCCCUCAAAAACAGUGGCGGGCUCGCUAGUCACACCGAGCGUAGUAACUCUACAUCGCUAUGGUCGUGCGGCGGGUUCUUGCCGUAAAACCCCCAAUUUCUAAGGUUGACCUCGGAUCAGGUAGGAAUACCCGCUAAACUUAAGC
rnacentral:misc_RNA from 1 species